rnacentral:rRNA from 1 species
AUGCUCAGUGACACGUGGCCAAACUGCCCUGUGGAGGAGGAUACCCUCGGGAAACUGAGGCUAAUACACCAUAGGUGCCGACGGCUGGAAUGCCCCGGCACCGAAACGCUCCGGCGCCACAGGAUGUGGCUGCGGCCGAUUAGGUAGACGGUGGGGUAACGGCCCACCGUGCCGAUAAUCGGUACGGGUUGUGAGAGCAAGAACCCGGAGAUGGAAUCUGAGACACGAUUCCAGGCCCUACGGGGCGCAGCAGGCGCGAAACCUUUACACUGUGCGAGAGCGCGAUAAGGGGAUCCCGAGUGCCCGCGCCUAGCGUGGGCUUUUCUGAACCGUAAAAUGGUUCAGGAAUAAGGGCUGGGUAAGACCGGUGCCAGCCGCCGCGGUAAUACCGGCAGCUCGAGUGAUGGCCGAUUUUAUUGGGCCUAAAGCGUCCGUAGCUCGCCGUGAAAGUCCAUCGGGAAAUCCACCCGCUCAACGGGUGGACGUCCGGUGGAAACUCCACGGCUUGGGACCGAAGGACCCGAGGGGUACGUCGGGGGUAGGAGUGAAAUCCUGAGAUCCUCGACGGACCACCGGUGGCGAAAGCGCCUCGGGAAAGCGGAUCCGACAGUCAGGGACGAAAGCUUGGGUCUCGAACCGGAUUAGAUACCCGGGUAGUCCAAGCCGUAAACGAUGCUCGCUAGGUGUGGCGUAGGCUACGAGCCUGCGCUGUGCCAAAGGGAAGCCGCGAAGCGAGCCGCCUGGGAAGUACGUCCGCAAGGAUGAAACUUAAAGGAAUUGG